rnacentral:lncRNA from 1 species
GAAUGUUACAUUGGUUGGUUCUGAGACCACUUUGAUUAUAAUGAGAAAUAACGGAAAUAGCACAACUUGAAUCUAGCUUCAUCUUGUCUCAUGCUUGUAUCUGUAGUUUGUCAAUUCAUUCCACUAAUUUGUAUUCUUUUAGAUUAAAUUCUGUAUCUAAUUUGUUAAUUAAUAGCCUCAAUUGUGUUCUACCUGAUAGAAUCAGUUCUCUGUCCAACAAUUGCCUUUGAAGGAAUGUAGAUCAAUUGAUUAGAUUUUGCAAGGAACAACAUAGAGAUUGUCUUGUUGAUGAGAUUAUAGUUAGUGGAAAAUGUACAGAACAAAAAAUUCAUGCCAAUUAUAUAUAUAUAUAUAUAUAUAUAUAUAUAUAUAUAUAUAGAGUCCGGCUACUAUGCUAUCGGUAGCACGGAGCGCUCCGUGCUACCAAGUUGUUUUCGAUGAUGUGGCUUUCAAAUCGACGAUCGGCUCCGUUAAACUUGAUCUACACUAUUGAAAGUAUUUGGAAACUAAAUUUCAGAUUUUUUCGAUAUCAUUUGACUAGUGAUCAACAAAUCUCAAAAUUGACAAUUUUAAUGGCCGAUGUGGUGUGUUUGUGAGUUUAACGGUGUAAAACAAUCCAAAUGCGAUNUUCUUUUAGAUUAAAUUCUGUAUCUAAUUUGUUAAUUAAUAGCCUCAAUUGUGUUCUACCUGAUAGAAUCAGUUCUCUGUCCAACAAUUGCCUUUGAAGGAAUGUAGAUCAAUUGAUUAGAUUUUGCAAGGAACAACAUAGAGA